rnacentral:rRNA from 1 species
UACGUAGGGUGCAAGCGUUAAUCGGAAUUACUGGGCGUAAAGCGUGCGUAGGUGGUUUGUUAAGUCUGAUGUGAAAGCCCUGGGCUCAACCUGGGAAUUGCAUUGGAUACUGGCAGGCUAGAGUGCGGUAGAGGGUAGUGGAAUUCCCGGUGUAGCAGUGAAAUGCGUAGAGAUCGGGAGGAACACCCCGUGGCGAAGGCGGCCAACUGGGCCGGACCU